GCCGGGGUAGCUCAAUCGGUAGAGCGUGUGGCUCUUAUACAGAGACAACCUCAAGGUCGCGGGUUCGAGCCCCGCCUUCGGCU